AAACUCUGAUAUCAUGUGUGGUCCGAGUCAUAUUCAAUAACUAAAACUUUCAACAACGGAUCUCUUGGUUCUGGCAUCGAUGAAGAACGCAGCGAAAUGCGAUAAGUAAUGUGAAUUGCAGAAUUCAGUGAAUCAUCGAAUCUUUGAACGCACAUUGCGCCCCUUGGUAUUCCGAGGGGCAUACCUGUUCGAGCGUCAUUA
rnacentral:rRNA from 1 species